rnacentral:rRNA from 1 species
GUCUACAGCCGUGCCACCCUGAACAAGCCUGACGUUUGAUCUCAGAAGCUAAACAGCUAAGCCUGGUUAGUACUUGGGUGGGAAACCACCUAGGAAGACCAGGUGCUAUAGGCA